rnacentral:lncRNA from 1 species
UAAAAACAGACCAGAAGCUUUGGCCCUGUGUGCCCUACAGUAUGUUCAGCCUUGUUUAGGCUUACUGCAACACUGCAGUCAGAGUUCUUGUUGCCUUGAGGGAAUUUUCUUGUGUUUCUUAAUUUAAUUAAGCAUUUCCCAUUAAGUUUAAUUAUAUGUUAAGAUGGAGAAUUCUUCCUGACCCUACAACAAUAAGCGUUUACAAAACAAAGCACGGUUCUCGCAGAAUUUCUUCUGGGACAUCAUCUUGUUUGACAGAGCAAAUAGUUUAACAAAGAUUUUAAUAUUCUGUGUUUUUGUAAACCUUGUUUCUUUUUAUCUCCAUUCAGCUUACUGGAAUGAAGUUUGGCAGACAAGUUUCCACAACGCAGUCGUUAUUACUAUCAAGAAAUAAGGAUCACACCUACGCUGUCUGAUUUUGUCCAGUAGCGCUAUAGACCUUAAGCAUGGAGCCAGUAAGGGUUAAGGGCCGGUGGGAUGUGCAACACACCAGUAAGAGCAGAAACAUCCCUUCAGCAGGCUAGCUCCAGUAGCAGGGCUGAAAAUGAAGACACUAAGAGUUGCCAUGAUUUCCUGUUCCCCUUGAUAUGGGCUAAUUGAGGAUUUUAGCAAGCAUGUCCUUCCUUGUGGAGCAGAAGCCUGACCUUGGCGUUGACAUUGGCUUAAAAGUAUUUUUAUAUUCACCAAUAUUUAUAUUCAAGGCUGCAGAACCAAAUACUGUUAUGCUGUGUGAAGAGAUCUCAGCAAAGGGACACGAGUUAAAGAGGAACGAUUACACUGUAAAAAGUCAUAAAACCUUCCAGGAUUAA